rfam:Pandoraea thiooxydans strain DSM 25325, complete genome.
UUCUCCCUGCCUGGUUCGCGAAGGUCGUAAAUUCCUUGAACCAAUGAUCGGAUGCAGGUUGCGGAAGUUUGUUGCACAAGCGUGAGCGUCACUCUGUCUGAUGAGCCCAAUGUGCUACUAACCGCGACCACCUUGAACCUUACGGUUCAGGAUGCCGGCCUAGCGGCUAAGGUGGGGACCUA